GAUGAACGCUGGCGGCGUGCCUAAUACAUGCAAGUCGAGCGAACAGAUGAGGAGCUUGCUCCUCUGACGUUAGCGGCGGACGGGUGAGUAACACGUGGAUAACCUACCUAUAAGACUGGGAUAACUUCGGGAAACCGGAGCUAAUACCGGAUAAUAUAUUGAACCGCAUGGUUCAAUAGUGAAAGACGGUUUUGCUGUCACUUAUAGAUGGAUCCGCGCCGCAUUAGCUAGUUGGUAAGGUAACGGCUUACCAAGGCAACGAUGCGUAGCCGACCUGGGAGGGGAGUCGGCCCACAUGGAGAUGGAAACAGGGCCAAGACCCAGAGGGGGGCCAGCGGUGGGAAAUUGCGGAAAAGGGGCAAAACCCGGCGGAGGAACGGCGGCGGGGGAAGAAGGGUUUCGGGUUCUAAAAAACUUUUUAUGGGGAAGAAAAAAAUUGUGAAAAAACUACGGCCCUAUGACGGUACCCGAAGAAGAAGCCCCGGCUAACUACGUG
rnacentral:rRNA from 1 species